UACGAAUGGGGCAAGCGUUGUUCGGAAUCACUGGGCGUAAAGCGUGCGUAGGCGGUUUGACAAGUCAGAAGUGAAAGCCCUGGGCUCAACCCAGGAACUGCUUUUGAAACUGUCAGACUAGUAUCUCGGAGAGGUUGGCGGAAUUCCCAGUGUAGAGGUGAAAUUCGCAGAUAUUGGGAGGAACACCAGUGGCGCAAGCGGCCAACUGGACGAGUAUAGACGCUGAGGCACGAAAGCGUGGGGAUCAAACAGG
rnacentral:rRNA from 1 species